GACGAACGCUGGCGGCGUGCCUAAUACAUGCAAGUAGAACGCUGAAGGAGGAGCUUGCUUCUCUGGAUGAGUUGCGAACGGGUGAGUAACGCGUAGGUAACCUGCCUGGUAGCGGGGGAUAACUAUUGGAAACGAUAGCUAAUACCGCAUAAAAGUAGAUGUUGCAUGACAUUUGCUUAAAAGGUGCAAUUGCAUCACUACCAGAUGGACCUGCGUUGUAUUAGCUAGUUGGUGGGGUAACGGCUUACCAAGGCGACGAUACAUAGCCGACCUGAGAGGGUGAUCGGCCACACUGGGACUGAGACACGGCCCAGACUCCUACGGGAGGCAGCAGUAGGGAAUCUUCGGCAAUGGACGGAAGUCUGACCGAGCAACGCCGCGUGAGUGAAGAAGGUUGUCGGAUCGUAAAGCUCUGUUGUAAGAGAAGAACGAGUGUGAGAGUGGAAAGUUCACACUGUGACGGUAUCUUACCAGAAAGGGACGGCUAACUACGUG
rnacentral:rRNA from 1 species